GAUGAACGCUGGCGGCGUGCCUAAUACAUGCAAGUCGAGCGAACGGACGAGAAGCUUGCUUCUCUGAUGUUAGCGGCGGACGGGUGAGUAACACGUGGAUAACCUACCUAUAAGACUGGGAUAACUUCGGGAAACCGGAGCUAAUACCGGAUAAUAUUUUGAACCGCAUGGUUCAAAAGUGAAAGACGGUCUUGCUGUCACUUAUAGAUGGAUCCGCGCUGCAUUAGCUAGUUGGUAAGGUAGCGGCUUACCAAGGCAACGAUGCAUAGCCGACCUGAGAGGGUGAUCGGCCACACUGGAACUGAGACACGGUCCAGACUCCUACGGGAGGCAGCAGUAGGGAAUCUUCCGCAAUGGGCGAAAGCCUGACGGAGCAACGCCGCGUGAGUGAUGAAGGUCUUCGGAUCGUAAAACUCUGUUAUUAGUGAAGAACAUAUGUGUAAGUAACUGUGCACAUCUUGACGGUACCUAAUCAGAAAGCCACGGCUAACUACGUG
rnacentral:rRNA from 1 species